rnacentral:rRNA from 1 species
GACGGAGGGUGCGAGCGUUAAUCGGAAUUACUGGGCGUAAAGGGCGCGUAGGCGGUGGGUUACGUCUGCCGUGAAAUCCCCGGGCUCAACCUGGGAAUGGCGGUGGAAACGGGCUGACUGGAGUAUGGGAGAGGGUGAUGGAAUUCCAGGUGUAGCGGUGAAAUGCGUAGAGAUCUGGAGGAACACCAGGGGCGAAGGCGGGCACCUGGCCCAAUACUGACGCUGAGGCGCGAAAGCGUGGGGAGCAAACAGG